rnacentral:rRNA from 1 species
UACGUAGGGUGCAAGCGUUGUCCGGAAUUAUUGGGCGUAAAGAGCUCGUAGGCGGUUUGUCGCGUCUGCUGUGAAAACCCGAGGCUCAACCUCGGGCCUGCAGUGGGUACGGGCAGACUAGAGUGCGGUAGGGGAGAUUGGAAUUCCUGGUGUAGCGGUGGAAUGCGCAGAUAUCAGGAGGAACACCGAUGGCGAAGGCAGAUCUCUGGGCCGUAACUGACGCUGAGGAGCGAAAGCUAGGGGAGCAAACGGG